GAUGAACGCUGGCGGCGUGCCUAACACAUGCAAGUCGAGCGAAGUUUAAAAGAAGUACUUGUACGGAAAUUAAACUUAGCGGCGGACGGGUAAGUAACGCGUGAGCAACCUACCUUUCACUGUGGAAUAACAACGGGAAACCGUUGCUAAUACCGCAUAACAUCUUACCUGGGCAUCCAGGAAAGAUCAAAGACUUAUCGGUGAAAGAUGGGCUCGCGUCCGAUUAGUUAGUUGGUGGGGUAAUGGCCUACCAAGACCGCGAUCGGUAGCCGAACUGAGAGGUUGAUCGGCCACAUUGGGACUGAGAUACGGCCCAGACUCCUACGGGAGGCAGCAGUGGGGAAUAUUGGGCAAUGGGCGAAAGCCUGACCCAGCAACGCCGCGUGAAGGAUGAAGGUCUUCGGAUUGUAAACUUCUUUGGUCAGGGACGAAAAAAAUGACGGUACCUGAAGAACAAGCCACGGCUAACUACGUGCCAGCCGCCGCGGUAAGAC
rnacentral:rRNA from 1 species